rnacentral:rRNA from 1 species
GCGCGAAAACUUUACAAUGCGGGCAACCGUGAUAAGGGAACCUCGAGUGCCUGUAUAUGCAGGCUGUCUGGGUGUCUAAAACACACCUAAAGAGAGGGCCGGGCAAGACCGGUGCCAGCCGCCGCGGUAAUACCGGCGGCUCGAGUGGUGGCCACUUUUAUUGGGCUUAAAGCGUUCGUAGCUGGGUUAUUAAGUCCCUUGGGAAAUCCGACGGCUUAACCGUCGGGCGUCUAAGGGAUACUGGCAAUCUUGGAACCGGGAGAGGUGAGGGGUACUUCGGGGGUAGGAGUGAAAUCCUGUAAUCCUCGAGGGACCACCUGUGGCGAAGGCGCCUCACCAGAACGGCUUCGACAGUGAGGGACGAAAGCUGGGGGAGCAAACCGGAUUAGAUACCCGGGUAGUCCCAGCCGUAAACGAUGUGCGUUAGGUGUAUCGGUGACCACGAGUCACCGAGGUGCCGAAGGGAAACCGUGAAACGUACCGCCUGGGAAGUACGGCCGCAAGGCUGAAACUUAAAGGAAUUGGCGGGGGAGCACCACAACAGGUGGAGCCUGCGGUUUAAUUGGACUCAACGCCGGAAAUCUCACCGGAUAAGACAGCUGAAUGAUUGUCGGGCUGAAGACUCUACAUGACUAGCU